GACGAACGCUGGCGGCGUGCUUAACACAUGCAAGUCGAACGAUGAAGCCCAGCUUGCUGGGUGGAUUAGUGGCGAACGGGUGAGUAACACGUGAGUAACCUGCCCUUGACUUCGGGAUAACUCCGGGAAACCGGGGCUAAUACCGGAUAUGAGCUACCUUCGCAUGGGGGUGGUUGGAAAGUUUUUCGGUCAGGGAUGGGCUCGCGGCCUAUCAGCUUGUUGGUGGGGUGAUGGCCUACCAAGGCGACGACGGGUAGCCGGCCUGAGAGGGCGACCGGCCACACUGGGACUGAGACACGGCCCAGACUCCUACGGGAGGCAGCAGUGGGGAAUAUUGCACAAUGGGCGCAAGCCUGAUGCAGCGACGCCGCGUGAGGGAUGAAGGCCUUCGGGUUGUAAACCUCUUUCAGCAGGGAAGAAGCGCAAGUGACGGUACCUGCAGAAGAAGCGCCGGCUAACUACGUG
rnacentral:rRNA from 1 species